rnacentral:rRNA from 1 species
CCUACGGGAGGCAGCAGUAGGGGAUAUUGCACAAUGGGGGAAACCCUGAUGCAGCGACGCCGCGUGAGGGAAGAAGUAUUUCGGAAUGUAAAGCCCUAUCAGUAGAGAAGAAAAUGACAGUAGCUGACCAAGAAGCACCGGCUAACUACGUGCCAGCAGCCGCGGUAAUACGGAGGGGGCAAGCGUUACCCGGAUUUACUGGGCGUAAAGGGAGCGUAGACGGGUUUGUAAGUCAGGUGUGAAAGCCUGGGGCCCAACCCCGGAACUGCUUUUGAAACUGUGUUGCUGGAGUACGGGAGGGGCAGGCGGAAUUCCUGGUGUAGCGGUCACAUGCGUAGAUAUCAGGAGG